UUAUCCAAAGCCAUAUUUGAUUAUUAUGAGCUUUGAUAAAAUAUACUCUGUUGAUUCUAUUACUGGAGAUAUUCAUGUCAGCACUAUUAAUGGCUCCAAAACGAAAUUUUUGCGAAAAAUGUUUUUGCUCAUGACAUUACAGUUGACUGGAUUGGUCGUCGUAUCUUUUACAUUGACUCCACGAACAUUAUCUACCAAAUUUAUUUGAAAAAGAAAAUUACAAGUGUUAUGAGGCUUCAA